rnacentral:rRNA from 1 species
AGUGACACGAGUUGAUCAUGGCUCAGAACGAACGUUGGCGGCGUGGAUUAGGCAUGCAAGUCGAACGAAUCCCUAGGGGCUUGCUCUUAGGGGGAAGUGGCGAAAGGGGCAGUAAGGCGUGGGUAACCUACCCCGGGACGGGCAUAGCCGUCCUAACGGACGGGUAAUUCCUGGCGAUCUGGCGAGGGGGCAUCCUCUUGCCAGGAGAUGAAUUUCGCCUCGGGAGGGGCUCACGUAGUAUUAGCUUGUUGGUGAGGUAACGGCUCACCAAGGCGAAGAUGCUUAGCGGGUGUGAGAGCACGACCCGCGCCACUGGCACUGAGAUACGGUCCAGACUCCUACGGGAGGCAGCAGUGGGGAAUAUUGGGCAAUGGGCGAAAGCCUGACCCAGCGACGCCGCGUGAGGGAAGAAGAUCUUCGGAUUGUAAACCUUAGUCAACAGGGAAGAAGAAAGUGACGGUACCUGUGGAGGAAGCCACGGCUAACUACGUG